GGAAGGUUGCCCGAGUGGUUAAGGGAACAGGUUGCUAACCUGUAGUUGCGCAAGCGGCUCGUAGGUUCGAUUCCUACACUUUCCGCCA
rnacentral:tRNA from 1 species